rnacentral:lncRNA from 1 species
AACUGAAUUUUUAAAAUGUAAAUCUGAUUUAUUUUUGGAAUAAAUAAUACAUUUACAUGGCUGGAAAUUCAAAGGAUACAAAAAGGCAUAUACUCCAGGCAACCACUAUGACCAGCUGCUGAUCACAAGUAGAGAACUUGUUUCUUUUCACCCCUCUUGCUCCUCCCCGGAGUUAUGAAAAAUUUCAAACCUGCCAAAAGUUUGAAGUUUACAACAAAUACCCUCCAACCUUUGGGUUGUCUCCCUCCCCCUUCUCUCCCUCUCUCCCUCUGAUUUCUUACAGAACCACGCUUUCAUGACCAUGCCCGGGAACUUCACGCUGGCGCGGUGAGGUCCUGCGCCUCCGCUUCCUGCACACACGUGCUUCUUAAUAGCUGCAGGCUAUUUCAUGAGAGGAAUUUGCUCACGUUAACAUGGCUGUUCCCAAAUGCCAGGCUGUUUUAAGUGUUUCCUAAUUAUAAACAGGCUGUGCUGUUUCCCUUGACCUAGGACUUGUUCUUGAGGACAGAAGUGGAGGUGGCGAGAUGCAAAGCCUACGUACGGACCGGCUUCCCCAGUAGGGCGGCGCCAAUGGGCGGCUCCCAAGCUGCUCCCGUCUCACCUCUGCUUCCGGGGUGCUGGGGGUUUGGGCCAGUGUUCCUUCUGCUUUUGUGAAGGGCCCUUACACUCGACUCGAAGUGCUCCUCCUAUUGGUUUUUAAUAAAUAUAUUUAUGGAAAGCUUUAUGAAUUUGCGAGUCAUCCUUGUGCAGGGGCCAUGCUAAUCUCUGUAUCGUUGCAAUUUUUGUAUACAUGCUGCUGAAGGGCGCACUCCUCUUAUUGUUGUAUAAGUUUUUAAGGUAAAUAUUCAACAUCAAUUCCCAUUUGUUGCAAUUAUUUCCCUUCUUUGAGGUUUUUAAUUUGCAGCAUUUUUACAUUUAUUUCCUUCUAUUUAUUUAUUUUUGAGAAACAAGGUCUUGCUCUGUCGCCGAGGCUGGAGUGCAGUGGUGUGAUCAUAGUUCAUUGCAGCCUCAAACUCCUGGGCUCAAGUAAUCCUCCUGCCUUGGCCUCCCAAGUAGCUGGGACUAUAACUGCACAUCACUGUGCCCAGCAGCAUUUCUAUAUUUUGGAGAAAUCAAAUCUAUGUACUUAUUUUCCUCUGUAGCUUGUCCUAUCACUUUUGAGUUUAGAAAGCCUUUGCCAUCCAGAAAUCAGACAGUUUUCCCACUGGUUUUAGAUUCUUUAAUCCAUUUAAUAUUAUUUUGCCCAGAGAAUGAAGCAGUGGCCACAUUAGUUGUGACACCCCCCAUGCCCCGCCCCCGCCGCUCCUUAAGUGCAUCUGAGAUACCCUCUCCAUUCUGCUCCCUCCCUGUGGGCCUUGCUAGGCUGCUGCCUGGCCCUCCGAGGGUCUGGGCCAUGCCAUUCAAUAGAGUGGCCCCUGCUGGGGCUCCACCUGUCAUCACUUAGCAGUUCUCACCCGUUUCUUCUUCCCAGGAGUGACGGGACAGUGAGGAGGCAUCAAACAGCACAGGUCUGCAGUUCUACAGAGCUGGCUUCCAGUCCCAGUGCUGUGUGACCUUGAGCAAGUUACCUAACCUCUCUGAGUCUCAAGGGGCUAAUGAGACUUCACCUUGCAGGGCUCUGGUGAGAAGCACAUUGGGCACAGUCAUGGGCAUUUGUGGGUACUAACAUUAUUCCUCCCUGCCUGCCCCAACAAAACAAUCCCAGUGGGGAUUUGAACUGAAAUCAAGCUACACCUAUAAAUUCCUUUGGAAAGAAUGAGGUCUUUCCAUAAUGUGUGUAGUCCUCCAUCCAGGAAUGUGGAACAUAUCUUCCUUUAUUAAAGUUUCCUUUUAUGCCUUCUGGAAAGCUUUGCCGCUCUUCACACGGCCUGAGGUUUCUUGCUGAGGUCAUUUCCUGGCACAUGGUGUGUCUGUCCUGCUGCUGUGCUGGGCGUCAUCUUUUGCGUGUGCUGGUUUCCAGCAGGGCACUUCUGCGAUAUGGUUUCGUUUGCUGGCUGAAGAUACAGAACCAGGGGCUCGAACCCCUCCAACGCCUGCUCACACACAGCUCCAUGAGGAGGCAGCCCUGGACCUCACCCCACAGUGUCCUCCUCAGAGGCUACCAUGGGGUGCAGCCAGCUCUGGAGUGGCCAUUCCCCCAUAACAGCCACUUGGGCAAACCAGUGUGUAUUUCAACACCAGCCAGGCCAAGACAGGUCUGCUGACGCACUCUCCCUGUGGUGGGGCUGGGCUGGCAGGUUCUCCCUUGCACUGCCCUCGUGAGUGUCAGCUGAGGGCACUUCUCACAGCUCAGGCACCACACUCGGCCAGGUUUGGAAAAAGUCUAGUUUAUUGCACUGACUCAAAGCACAACUAAAAAUUAAAACCAGAAAGAAAACUGUACAAAGCAUGAAGCUACAAGUUUAAAAGCAUCACCUAGACGCGGGUUUAAUUGCACUACAGUCCCAUGGGUGAGGAGAGCUUUGCCAUCCGUGAGGCGCCGGGCAAGGCACAACAGACACAGAGAGAUGCAGCCCGGCCUGGGGCUGCCUCUACUGCCACCAACUUUUACAAAAGGUUCUAGAAAAGGGAAGUGUGAAGUCAGAUCUGGGAUUUCGGCAUCUUGACCUCAUUUGGACAUGGAAAACCUCCACCUAUGUGGCUGGCUGGGUCCUGUCAGAGAACAUAUUUUAUCACCCUCCACCUGCGGCCUGGGGGCUCCCUGACACCAAGGCCUGGGCCUGGGCCAGAGGCAGGCUAAAAAAAGCAGCCAGCCUGGUGUCCUGUCCUGAAGCUGCCUCCGGGAGGGGGCGGGAUGUGUGGCAGGGCGGCCUAGCCCUCACACGCAGAUGCCAGUGGGCGGGGUGGGCACUGCCCAUUGUCUGAAGGGGCCACAGCGGCCGUCCAUAGAGGCACUGGUUUCAACCUGUCGAGUGUCAACCCAUACCCUGCAGAAGGCAUGGGCUGCCACUCAGAGCCAGCCCACAGGUCCCGUGACCGCCCUGCCAGUCAAGUCUGUGCGGGGAUGCCUGCCCCUCUGAGGCUGCAGGCGAGGACAGUGCAGGCUCAGGACAAACCCGGGAAGGAACAAAGGCCUUCCAUUGUUUUCGGAAAACACAUAUCUCUUCUAAAUUUGUAAGAUUUGAUUUGAAAUGAGGUAUUUUAUGCAGAUUUGUAAUACAACAAAAAAGGCAAUAAUUAGUAGACUCGUCCUCUGAGGAUGCAUCUGGUUUUAGGAUGUCCGCCAGCAGCAUUAGUUAAAUACCAUUCCAAAGACAUUUCUAAGGGAGCGACCCUUGCUCAGCUCCCCCACGCCCCAUGCACCCUCCUGUGCCGUCCCUACCUGGGACACACGUGCACACAUCCAGGUUCCAUUUGCACCCAUCAGGCUUUACUGUUUCAGCUGAAGUGUGCUCUCCAGGAGGCGGGCAGCCUGCGCCGUGUGUGGGCAGUGAGGUGUGGUGUGGUGUGGUGAGAUGUGGCGAGGUACGGUACGGUGCGGUGCGGUGCGGUGUGGUGUGGUGAGGUGUGCUGUGCUGUGGUGUGGUGAGGUGUGGGGUGUGUUGUGUGGUGAGGUGUGCUGUGGUGUGGUGAGGUGUGGUGAGGUAUGGUGCAGUGCGGUGUGCUGUGCUGUGGUGAGGUGUACUGUGGUGUGGUGAGGUGAGGUGUGUUGUGGUGUGCAUGUGCGUGGGUUCUCUCCUGGCAUGGCCAGUGCUCUCCUCUCAAGCCCGGCCUCGGCUUGCUGGCCAGAGCGUCUGGCGUGGAAUGUGCUCUGCAGCUUUGUCUCUGGGGGGACACCCCCCUAUGAUGGGACAAAGCCAUCACCGAGCACAUCCCGCGCUGCAGAGAGCUGACCUUUGGCUCCAUCUGGCCCUGGGGCUACUAAUGUGGAAGGAGGCCCUGGGCCAAACCAGCUGCCCGGCUACCCUUGGUUCUGGGAGGCCUCCGGAGACCACUCCCACCAACAAAAGCUGGAGCUAUCUGUGGAUGAGACCAGGACGGCAGCACGUGGGUAAUCGGAGUGCAUGCAGCCGGGCGGUCGCCACUGUCCUGAGCUAGGAGGCGCCACUGCUGCAGCAAUCACGCCAGCCACGGGUGGAGGCUGUGGGUUCUGGAACGAGACAGAAACCAACAUAGAUGAAAGUAAGUGUGCGGGUCCAACCUGGCCAGAGGUGUCUGGACACGUGUGGAGGCAGCACGUCCACCAGGGAGUGACUCCGAAGCCACUGUGCCCACCACAGACGCCGGGCCCCUCCGCGUGACUCUGCCAGGGCUCCUUCAGAUGACCUCCCACUCGUCCUCCAGGUCCUCAGGGUGGGGCAUGGCGGCCUGGCUGCUCUUCUGGGUGCCGUGCGAGUGGCUGAACGUCUUCGUCAGCCGUUGGAGGAGGUAGCCGGGCGG